rnacentral:SRP_RNA from 1 species
GCUGGGUGUGGUGGUGCGCACCUAUAAUCCCAGCUCCUUGGGAGGCUGAGGCAGGAGACUCACUUGAACCCAGGAGGCAGAGGUUGCAGUGAGUGGAGAUCACACCACUGCACUCCAGCCUGGGUGACAGAGUGAGACCCCGACUCAA